AUUGAACGCUGGCGGCAGGCUUAACACAUGCAAGUCGAACGAUGAUUAUCUAGCUUGCUAGAUAUGAUUAGUGGCGGACGGGUGAGUAACAUUUAGGAAUCUGCCUAGUAGUGGGGGAUAGCUCGGGGAAACUCGAAUUAAUACCGCAUACGACCUACGGGUGAAAGGGGGCGCAAGCUCUUGCUAUUAGAUGAGCCUAAAUCAGAUUAGCUAGUUGGUGGGGUAAAGGCCCACCAAGGCGACGAUCUGUAACUGGUCUGAGAGGAUGAUCAGUCACAACGGAACUGAGACACGGUCCGGACUCCUACGGGAGGCAGCAGUGGGGAAUAUUGGACAAUGGGGGCAACCCUGAUCCAGCCAUGCCGCGUGUGUGAAGAAGGCCUUUUGGUUGUAAAGCACUUUAUGCAGGGAGGAGAGGCUAAUGGUUAAUACCCAUUAGAUUAGACGUUACCUGCAGAAUAAGCACCGGCUAACUCUGUGCCAGCCGCCGCAGUAA
rnacentral:rRNA from 1 species